rnacentral:rRNA from 1 species
CCUACGGGAGGCAGCAGUGGGGAAUCUUGCGCAAUGCGCGAAAGCGUGACGCAGCAACGCCGCGUGGGGGAAGAAGGCCUUCGGGUUGUAAACCCCUUUCAGGAGGGACGCGGUACCUCCAGAAGAAGCCCCGGCUAACUACGUGCCAGCAGCCGCGGUAAUACGGAGGGGGCAAGCGUUGUCCGGAAUUAUUGGGCGUAAAGAGCGUGUAGGCGGUCCGAUAAGUCGGCUGUGAAAGUCCAGGGCGCAACUCUGGAAUGCCGGCCGAUACUGUCGGACUAGAGUCCGGAAGAGGCAAGUGGAAUUCCCGGUGUAGCGGUGAAAUGCGCAGAUAUCGGGAGGAACACCAAUGGCGAAGGCAGCUUGCUGGCGGCACUGACGCUGAGACGCGAAAGCGUGGGGAGCAAACAGGAUUAGAUACCCUUGUAGUC